GCCUCGCUAACUCAGUUGGUAGAGUGUGAGACUUUUAAUCUCACGGUCGAGGGUUCGAGCCCCUCGCGAGGCU
rnacentral:tRNA from 1 species